GGGGUUUUAGUUUAAUUUUAGAACUGCUGAUUUGCAUUCAGAUGGCUUGAACUCUG
rnacentral:tRNA from 1 species